rnacentral:misc_RNA from 1 species
UUAAAUCUCACAAUCCCGGCUGCGUUUCAUUGCGCAGUCUGGAGAGUGAAUUUGAGCUUACUUUGUCAUUUCGCAUGGCAAUGGCUUCAAAAUGAUUGCGUGUGUCGCCCCUCUCGUCAAACGGAGGUUGCGUGAUCUUGCCAGUGCAACAGGUAACAAUGCUACGCUGGUCAGGAAUCGCGCUUUUUGGCAGCCCACCUCCGUCAGUUUCACAGACCUGCGCGCGGGAUAACUGCGCCUCUUCUGAUA